AACGUCUGGAAAGUUUAAAGAAGCAACCUUCAUUAACGCUGGAAACAUCUUACUCUUAGUAGAAGCCUCUGCUAAAAUCCCCAUUUGCUUUAAAAGAGGAUCUUGUUGCAAAUUUCCGAGGUCCAAGAAUUUAGUAGCAGGUUGAUAACGGGUUUGCAAAAACUGGCGUAACUUUUCAAUGGUCUCAUUUGUGGAUUGUGGUAACGUUUUUGAAACAUUUCUCUGGGCUUGUGUUGCUAAUGCAGAUAAUGAAGGAGCUGAAACAGAACGAAAUGAUCGUUUUGUCUUUGCUUUUCUAUAAUCUUGAGUAACGUUAGAAGCUCCAUCGACCCUUCGUAUAGCCAAAUGAUCACCAGCAAAAGCCGCACCAUUUAACCCGUUCAAACGACUAAAGUCUUGGCUUUUAACUACGGCAGUGACCGAAGCCGGAGAAUAUGAAAUGUUCAUUAGACGAACCUUGACUUUUCUCCAAACAAAGCUUAUUAAGUCGUCCUCAGAACCCUUGGAAUGACCAGUAAUAACUACGGAUAUCGGGGGUUCACGCGUGGCACGAGGUUUGCCUGGUGUACGGCGUUUCUCCAAUGGUGUAUCAAUUACCAUUUCAUUCUCUUUAACAGCAUUACGACGCUCCCGCUUUCUACGCAACAUUUUGCAAUUAUGUUGAGUAGUAAGUGUGAAGAGAAAGAGAGUAAGUGGAAUUUAAUUCAACAUUUUUAACUUCAAUAGUAAUAGGACAAGUAUAAGGAGUAGAGAUGUGUACGCGCAAAACUGCGUUAAACAGUUAGACUAUUUGUGAUAUAACGAGAAACUGUUAAAUGCGUUAUUCGUCUUUUGCUAUGCUUGUAUCGAUGGAAUUUGUGGAAAUACAUUUUUUGUUUUAGUUUAUUUUAUUGAAAUUCAAAAAAAUUUAUAUGAGGCUAAUAUAAAAUCGUUUACUGUUUUUUUGUAAAAUCACUAUUGAUAUAACUCAAUCGACCACCUAAAAUUCGACCUCCAUUAACAUGAAAAUUCAGGAGUAAAUUUUGAAGUAAAGAACAGUUUAGUCAGUAAGACUUCCGAACACUAAUUCCUUAAGCAAUAUAUCAAUAUAUGUGUCCCGCUAA